AAGAGGGAACCCGGUGCGAAUCCGGGACUGCCCCGCAGCGGUGAGUGGGAACGAACGCCGCCCCCGGUCCCCAGGGACCGGGCAGCACUGGACCGAGGAGUCUGGGAAGCAGGCGGCCGGUAGGAGUAUCCGUCCCAAGGGCGGAAGGUGCCCGCGAGUCCGAAGACCU
rnacentral:ncRNA from 1 species